GUCAUUGAAUUCCAGAAAUUUCCACUUUCUAUAAGUGAGGAACGACUAGAAAUGCUCAACUCUAAUGAGAUCGAGCAACUGACGUGAUUAAAUCAUAGGCGUGAUAGAGAGUUGAGAGUCCAAUGACAAAACUACAAGAGGGAAAAUUUAAAUGUUACAGCGCUCUUAAUUCCCAAU